rnacentral:rRNA from 1 species
AUUGAACGCUGGCGGCAGGCCUAACACAUGCAAGUCGAGCGAGCGGCGGACGGGUGAGUAAUGCCUAGGAAUCUGCCUGAUAGUGGGGGAUAACGUCCGGAAACGGUAGCUAAUACCGCAUACCAUCGGAUGUGCCCAGAUGGGAUUAGCUAGUAGGUGGGGUAAGGGCUCACCUAGGCGACGAUCCCUAGCUGGUCUGAGAGGAUGACCAGCCACACUGGAACUUGGACACGGUCCAGACUCCUACGGGAGGCAGCAGUGGGGAAUAUUGCACAAUGGGCGCAAGCCUGAUACAGCCAUGCCGCGUGUAUGAAGAAGGCCGUCGGGUUGUAAAGUACUUUCAGCGAGGAGGCGUUACUCGCAGAAGAAGCAACGGCUAACUCCGUGCCAGCCGCCGCGGUAAUAC